rnacentral:rRNA from 1 species
GGGGAAUAUUGCACAAUGGGGGGAACCCUGAUGCAGCAACGCCGCGUGAGCGACGAAGGCCUUCGGGUUGUAAAGCUCUGUCUUUGGGGACGAUAAUGACGGUACCCAAGGAGGAAGCCACGGCUAACUACGUGCCAGCAGCCGCGGUAAUACGUAGGUGGCAAGCGUUGUCCGGAAUUAUUGGGCGUAAAGGGUGCGUAGGCGGCAGUUUAAGUGGGAUGUGAAAUACCUGGGCUUAACUCAGGAGUGGCAUUCCAAACUGGACUGCUAGAGUGCAGGAGAGGAAAGUGGAAUUCCCAGUGUAGCGGUGAAAUGCGUAGAGAUUGGGAGGAACACCAGUGGCGAAGGCGACUUUCUGGACUGUAACUGACGCUGAUGCACGAAAGCGUGGGGAGCAAAC